UGAACGAUGGAGGAGACGCAGAUGGAGGCCUCACAGUCUCUGAACGAGAGUCGAGUUUCCCACGCUUCAGGUUUCUUAGUCAGAGCCGCACAAAGAGGGGCCUGUGCAGGUGAUGGGGACACUGGAACGCCAGGGAUGUCUGGAUUGAAGUACAUGGGAGGAUUCAUCUCUUCAGCUUCGUUCAUGAAAACUCUUCGUUUUGGCCAACAGCACCAGAUCACCACCUGAGAGGAGGAACACCGUUGUCCUUUAACAGAAAAAAGAUUCCUCUCACAAGCUCUGGAUUGGCUUGAGUCGGCCCAAACAGCAGACGAGAAGUGACUAUCACAGACCCAUUACUAAGAAAGUAAGUCACACAGGUUUGGAAUGACAUGAAGUAGGCUGAUUCAACAUCCACUAAUGUCCUGGACUCUGGAGAAACUGGCUCUUUAUCAGACUGAACAGUCUUUGUAUUGUUUGAGCACCUGAGCAGGUACCAUGCACAGGUGGGAGGAGCUCCUGCAAUUCAUUGUCUCUGAG